rnacentral:rRNA from 1 species
AGUUCGGAUUGCAGGCUGCAACCCGCCUGCAUGAAGUUGGAAUCGCUAGUAAUCGCGGAUCAGCAUGCCGCGGUGAAUACGUUCCCGGGCCUUGUACACACCGCCCGUCACACCAUGAGAGUCGGGAACACCCGAAGUCCGUAGCCUGACCGCGAAGGGGGGCGCGGCCGAAGGUGGGUUCGAUAAUUGGGGUGAAGUCGUAACAAGGUACC